rnacentral:rRNA from 1 species
AUUGAACGCUGGCGGCAGGCCUAACACAUGCAAGUCGAACGAGUGGCGGACGGGUGAGUAAUGUCUGGGAAACUGCCCGCUGGCGGGGGAUAACUACUGGAAACGGUAGCUAAUACCGCAUACCAUCGGAUGUGCCCAGAUGGGAUUAGCUAGUAGGUGGGUUAACGGCUCACCUAGGCGACGAUCCCUAGCUGGUCUGAGAGGAUGACCAGCCACACGGGAACGAGGAACCGGUCCGGACUCCUACGGGAGGCAGCAGGGGGGAAUAUUGCACAAUGGGCGCAGGCCUGAGGCAGACAUGCCGGGUGUAUGAAGAAGGCCUUCGGGUUGUAAAGUACUUUCAGCGAGGAGGCGUUACUCGAAGAAGAAGCACCGGCUAACUCCGUGCCAGCAGCCGCGGUAAUAC